GGAUGUGAAAGAGAUCUUGCUCCCAUAUCUGUCACCUCACUGAUAGCCAGGGUUGAUUCUUGGUUCACUGAUGUGGCUGGCUAGACCAGUGUCUCCUUCUUUCCUCCCUUACUGCUCCACAGGCAUCUCUCCUGAAGUUGCUGCCUUUGUUCAAGGAUAAGGGAGUUGCUGCACUCUCCUGCUAAAACCUCCUGCAAAAAGGAGAACAAGAGAUUGGGGGGGGGGGUCAAAAGAAAGGAU
rnacentral:snRNA from 1 species